ACCCCUCUUAAUUACCUCCAAAUCUGAAAUUGUAAGUGGGAAGUUGUUCAUAAUCCAAAUAAAUAAAUUAGAAUUUAAUUAAAUUAUUUCUUACAUCUAGUAUCGACCUUUUAAAAUCAUGUCAUUAAAAUCUUAAAGUAUCUUUGCCGAUUUCUUAGAAUAUGUUUAAAUUGUACAAAUGACACAUCAAAUUAUUUAAAACAACUUAUAAUGUAUCUAUCAGAUGCCUUAAAUUACUGAGUAUAUUUAUUCUAAUUUAAUCAAUUUAUUUUAUAAAUGUAAUUUUACAUUUUAUUGCAUCACUAAAGUUACUAGGAAGUAGGAACUGAAUUGGACUAGAUUGCUCUUAAAAGUAUAUAUGCGUGUAAGUCGAAAUAUACUCUUAUUACUCUAAUAUUACGUUUUAUCAUGUAAAAUAAGACCAAUUUUGGUCUAAUUAAUUAACGGUAGAGACAUGCAUGAUUAAUCCAAACUAUUAACGAAAGACAAAUUUAAUAAUUUUUCAUACUUUAAAGGUAUUUUUAACUCUUUUAUAUUUAUUAAAUAAUGUAAAAGUUAUAGGACCGAAGGAUCCGAAUUUCGAAACCAUGAACACCAAUCACCAUGCAUGAACAAACAUACGGUUAUCCGGUUUCAACAUCAUUAACAGUGGCAAGUGUAGUUUUCGAGUUAUGAGUUCAACUAAAUUCAAUUCUCUUUAUUACUUGAAUAUAUAUGUGCAAACAACGUAUAACAUUAACUAAAUAUUUGAUUUUGAACCUAUCAUGAUCAACUUAAAAUCCCGUCCCGUAUAAAGUCUAGGUUUUUUAAUUAUAGAUGGCCCAAUAGAUGUAAUUAACCUCAACAUUUACACCUAUUUGGACGGUGUUGGCCGUUGUAUUGUAUUGUAUUAUAUUGUAUUAUUAUUUUAAAUACAAUGUUUGUUUUGAUUAUUACUUAAAUUCUAUUGUAUCGUAUAAUUUAAAUUCAUGGUUAGGUGACGACGAAAAGAACAAUUUUAAGUAACAACAGAUUUGGUGUGAUCGCGUCGUUACCUUAAUAUUUUCUUUUCAUUUUGUCUUUAUUUAUUAUUUAAUAAUUAUAUUUAAUCUUUUAUCCUAUCUUUUCAUAGUAGCUCUGUACCCUACUUUUAUCUACUUUUCUUGUAGGUUUAUCAUUCAAAUUAUAUUAUGCAACGACGGAGAGCGAUACAAUCUAUCCAUAAUAUUCAUUAAAAUAAUAUAAUACAAUAUAACAAAACAUAAUAUAAUACGAUACUCAAUACGUUAUGAAACAAUACGUAACAACCAUUAUGUUUAGUGUUAUUAUUUUACUUAGAUUAGGAAUAUUUGAGGGAAAAGGAGCAAGGAAAAGCAAUUUUGGAUAGUUAACUUCAAGAUAUGUUUUUCCUUUAAGUAAGCAUGCAUGUUAACUAGCUAAAGAGUAUACCCUCUUUUUAUUGUGUGUGUAAGGGGGGGGGGGUGACUAUGUAUACGAGUACACAUAUAUAGAAACCAAUUACUUUUGUACAACACAUUUCAUGAGUCAUGACCAAUACCUAACUUGCUACUACUCCUAGGCAAACACCCAUAAUUUAUUUACCUUCUCUCACACCUAAAAAGAUCAAACACCAAAUUAACAUAUGUCAUUAUGCAAUAUAUAGCACAUAAAAUGUCCACAUAAUGCUUUUUAAUUACACACACAUAUAUAUAAGUGUAGACAUCAAAAUUUUAUGAAACUCUAUAAGACAUGUUUAAUUCUAAUUGGGACUCUAUAGGACAGUUCAAUUUGAGUUAGAAUUUUUGAAGGCUAUUUUACCUUAAACCCUAGCUCAUGCUCAUGUGCAAUAUGUUCUGUUGAAGAUGCAUCUCAAAAAUUUCAUAAAUCCAUGGAAAAUUCACAAAGAUCAAGAUCUGACCGGACUUUCCACAUCAUUCUAAUUCAAGAAAUACGCUACAAACAACCAUUGAAUCAUGACAGAAUUGUACCCACGUUAUUACGAACAACAAGAAUAUAAUGUCUAUAAAUUUUAGAGGGGGCAAAAUGGGAUAGAGAAUAUAUAUACUUUCUUUACAUGAUAGAUGUGAGACUAGGUCAACAGGGUUGGUAGAACUUCAUACUCCAAACUUUUUGUGAAGUAGGAAAUAACUUAUUUCUAAUUGGAAGAUAACUAUUGGUUCUAAAAAGAAUUAUUCUAGUUUUGGAAGGACUUCCUUCUUUAAGAUAUAGAGUCAUGUGUUUCGUGGAAAAGAAAAUAUUUUUCAUAAAAAAUAAUUUUCUUGAAAGAUAAGCGAAUCUCUUAUUUAUUCUCAAUUACAAUCUUUUCUCUCUUAACUAAAUGAAAUAUCAAUAAAUCAAUUUUUCGUUAAAUAAUAUCCAACCGCCAUCACGAUCAUUGUCACCAGAAAAACGUAUAGGCAAACUAGGGUUUCGAUGGGCUACAAUUAUUCUCCUGAAGAACAUUGUCAAGAAUAAAUUCAAAUACAUAAAAUUUGUAACUUAAAUAACACAUAUCUUAUAUUUAUUAUUUUCUUUUAACGGACAUGAAAAUAACUAAAGCGACAGUCGUAUUAAAGGGAAUCUUCCAAAAAAGAGAAUUAUAUAUUUCCAAAAAGUAUUGUAUGCAUCAGACAGGCUGUAUCAAAUUGAUCUUUCUGUAACACACUCAUAUCCACCAUAUUAUAUCCAUGCACGCAAUGCAAAUUGCUAACUUUCACGUCAUAAUAUUAGCUGUCCAAUGGCCCCUUAAUUAAUUCUUUCAAGCCAAGUCAACAUUAAACCAUACUUCCUCUAUUUCAUAUUAAUUAAAGGGAAGUGCUAAAUUGCAGAAAAUUCGGCCAUAAUUUGGUUAGAAAAUUAAAAAAAUUACAAUAUUUUUUUUAUUUUAAAAUAAACUGAUCUUUUUUCCAUUUUUUAGUUAAAAGGUAUUAAAGUUAAAAGGGUAAAAAUGUUUAAAAAGGUAAAAUAAUAUAGAUAAAAUAUCAUCCUGGCCAAAUUCUGCUCUUUUUUCAUUGUUCAGAAUUACUGAAUUGUUCAAAGUUCAAGAUGAAUGUCUGGAUUUUUUUCCAUAUUUGUUCUUUCAUUUAUUGAAGUUUUACGUACAUUUUCAAGGAGAUAAAUUGUCUUACUUACAAAGUCAUAUUUAUGAUUUCACAAAUGACAAUAUAUAGUGAGAAUUAUGAUUUAAAUUAUGUCCUUGAAUGUUUAAAAUAAAUAAAUAUAUGCACUACCUUACAAAUUCAGUUAAUAUGGAAUAGAAGGAGCACUCCUUUUGUCCUGUAUUAGCUGGUCACUAUACUAAAAAUAGUUGACACAUACAUAUCUGAAUUAAGAAAAUAUUAUUUGAUUUUUUCAUAUAUUACCCUGACAAUUAAUUAUUUUUGAAAAUAUUCAAACUUGAUUGUAAAGUUCCAAAGAAGUUCUUAAGGGGUAAAUUGGUAAAGUUAUUUUUUUAUGUAUGAUUUCUUGAUAUGUGUGUAAAAAGAAAAAUGAUGAACUAAUAUAGAACGGAUGAAGUAUAUCGCAAGCAUGCCCUUUUCGCUAACCACUUCAUCACUCACCAAUAUUUCAAAAAACAAAAAGUAUACAGUUAUAUAUAUAUAUACACACAUAUACGCGUACAGCGAGUGCACACGCACGUAUAUAUAUAGAGAGAUUUGGUGACUACAUAUGAUAGGAAAAUUUGGAGGUAAAAUUUCAUUCAAAUAUCACAAUGAUGAGAUUAUUUGAUUCGUAAAAAUUACUGUCUAGUGAUAUUAAUGGUAGUUGAUACAAUAUGUAUGAGUUCAACACGUAAUAUAUAUAGAUUCUGAAUAACUUAGAAAAUCAAUUAACUAAACUAUUAAAAUUCUCCACAUCUACGAAAUAUUGUAGUACCUACUAUGUAUUACCACCCGAUCUCCAAGCAGUACUAGCAAGAACAGACGCACUGUCACUAACUUGUAUUGAUACAUAUUAAGUUAUAAUAAAUUAUCUCCUUUUCUACUGAAAAAAAAAAAACUCGUUUCACUAGAUGCAUGAAAUCCAAACAAAAAUAAUUUUAAGUGGGGUCUCGAAAAAUUCAAACCAUGAAACGUGACAGAUAUAUUAGUAAGCCUAUUCCCUACAAAAUUAAAACAAGUAAACAAGCUAACUGUACCACUAUUUUCAUAGAAGGGUCCAAAAUAUUAAAAUGUGAAGGAGAUUUAAUGUAACAUUUAUUAUAUUAUAUAAAAAAUUACAUCAUAUGUAUAAUGUAAUUUUUUUGAUAAAGAAAGUUCAAAUAAACCUUGUAUCCAAUUAGUUUCCCCCAUGAAUUAAGAUGUUAAUUAUGUAUUUUUGUUAGUGUAUUGGUAUUUAUCUUCUUAAUUAAUGAAAGUUAACUUGUUAUGGUAUGUCAAUUUUCGUUUUUACUAUGUUACAAAUUAAUUAUAUUAUAGAUAUACUGCUUAGUCUUAUUCGAAAGUUUAAUCUUCUUACUCUUUACUAUUUUUUCGAUUUAGGCUCCUUCCCUUUCGUUAUGUAGCCGCGCUAGCAAGUAUUGUUGGGUUCGAAAGUGAUUAGGAAGUCAUGCGGAAAUUUACAAUUCCAAAUAUAUUGGUGAUAAAUUAGAUGACAAAAACUUAUAUUAAAAACAUAAUAUUAUUAUAUGAAAACUAAUAUAAAAGAAAAAUAUUAAAACUAUUGAGAAAAUAAAUCUCUCCGUAAACAAAACUCUUAAAUGUCUAUAUUGUGGAUGCUAUGUGUUAUGAUAUGAGAAAAAGGGUCUUUAAUUUAUAGAGUUCCAAAAUUUUCCUUUAAGGAAAGAAUAAAUUAAAUAUGGAAGAAAAUUAUAUAUUUCUUUCGGGAAAUGUUCAAACAUUUAUGGUAAUACUUUGACUUUCCUUAAAAGAAAAAGUAAAACUUAAAAUAUGGUAAGAAAAUCAUGGUAAAACCCUAACAGAUACUACGAGCCCACUUAUGUUUUCUCCUAGGUAUAUUCCUCCCCUACCUAUCGAAAUGAAAUAAGAAACCCCCUUUACCAGGUUCAGUACGAAACCAUUCUAAAAAGUGUAUUUACAAGUAGCAAACGCCUAUAAAAAGGUUGAAAUAAAAAAUUUAUCUAUAAUUCUCUUAUAAAUUUUAUGUUUUGUCCGUCCAUAGAACUUUAAAAUGUCUGAAAAAUAGGUUUGGGAGCCAAAAAAAAAUCAAUGAAAAGGAAAUCCAACCCCCUCUAUAUCCACCCCCCCCACNNNNNNNNNNNNNNNNNNNNNNNNNNNNNNNNNNNNNNNNNNNNNNNNNNNNNNNNNNNNNNNNNNNNNNNNNNNNNNNNNNNNNNNNNNNNNNNNNNNNNNNNNNNNNNNNNNNNNNNNNNNNNNNNNNNNNNNNNNNNNNNNNNNNNNNNNNNNNNNNNNNNNNNNNNNAGGAAAACCAACCCCCCCUAUAUCCCCCCCCCCCCCCCCACAUAAAAAAUAAUAAUUGUGUAUUUCUCCCAACACCUUCUACACUGUCACCCCAACACUACUUACUAUAUAUAAUGCCUCUAAUUAACCAUGUCCAUGCACUUCAAACACAAAAUAUUUAAAAGUUCUAAAAAAGCAACACUCAAACACCAUGAUCAAAACUUCAAGUUGUAUAUUUUCUUUCUUGGUUCUUAUAUGUUUCUUGGUGGUGGUGGCUUUUGGUGGUACUUUCGACCAAGAAUUUGAUGUUACAUGGGGUUAUGGGAGGGUGAAAAUACUCGAAAACGGGCAACUUCUCACUCUUUCCCUUGAUAGAAGUUCUGGCUCUGGAUUUAAGUCUAAACAACAAUAUAUGUUUGCAAAGAUUGACAUGAAGAUCAAACUUGUCCCUGGUAAUUCUGCUGGCACCGCUACUACAUACUAUGUAAGUUGAUCAUACUUUAUAAAUAUAUUUUUAACCUGUUAUAGCAGUUAAUAUAUCGUACUUUCAAGUUAUUAAUUCAUACUCUCCAUGGAUGAGAUAACCUAUAGUUAUUUUGAACCUAGUUGUACGUUUUCUAUUUCAAUUUAAUUUUGACUGUGACUUCGAAUACAGUUAUCUUCAGUGGGGUCAGCUCAUGAUGAGAUUGAUUUUGAGUUUCUUGGGAAUGUAAGUGGAGAACCAUAUACUCUUCAUACAAAUGUGUAUGCACAAGGCAAGGGAGAUAGGGAACAACAAUUUUAUCUUUGGUUUGACCCUACUAAGGAUUUCCACACCUACUCUAUUCUUUGGAAUCCUCGAAAUAUCAUGUAAGCAUACCUUUUAAUUAUUUUACAUAUAUAUUAUUAAAUUCUUAGAUUACUUAAACAUUUCCUAUAUAAAUUAAACUUAUGUUAUAAGAUGAAUAGAUGAUUGAUAUUUAAAAGUUUUUAGAUAAGAGAUCACCAUGGCACAAACAUUCAAAAUAUUAAUUAGGGAUAGAAUGAAUGAGACUUGUCUAUCAUUAAUCAAAAGUCUUAUUAGUUAAUUUGAAAAAAAUAGAUAGUUAUAUUAAAAAAAUACUUUCAGAUUCAAUGGUAAAAUAGUAGUAUUACUCAAAUUAGAUGUUUUAUCAUUCCAUAUAUUGCUAAAAUAGGGGUGGGGGUCGGGGGGAUAAAGUUAAGCAACUAUAUGAAAAUGACCAUAUUAAAACUCAUUUAUUAAGAUAAGGAUUUAACUUGUAAUUACACCGAUAGUAUAAUGUUCUUUUUUUAGUUUAAUAUAGAGUACAAUCUUUUUUGAGAAGUGGAACAUUCAUUGAAAUGAGCGAUAUUCACAAUUUCGUAGCUAAAUAACAAAAUUUUCAUGUUAUUAACUACAUAUUAUAUAAAAAUUCAAUUAGCUACUAGAAGAUAUUAAGUGAUAGAUUAGCUAGGAAUUACCGAUAAAUUCCAUUGCUAAUUUCAUGAUUUCUAGUAGUGUUUGGAGCAACAGUAAAAUUGUCUAUGGGUGACCAUGGAUUCGAGCUGUAGAAAUAACCACUAAUAUAAUACCUACAUUAAAGUAGACUGUCUACAUCAUGCUUCUUAGGAUGCCACCCUUUCUUGAACCCCGCGUGAAUGUUGGAUACUUUGUGCACCAGACUGUUAUUAGUACAAGUUUUCCUAGACACACAUGCUAUGCAAAUUACUCACAUCUUCUUCUAAUUUAUUUAUCAGAUUUUUAGUAGAUGGGACACCAAUAAGGCAAUACAAGAAUCUUGAAGCAACAAAUGGAAUACCUUACCCAAAGAACCAACCAAUGUGGUUAUACUCAAGUCUAUGGAAUGCUGAGGAAUGGGCAACAAGAGGUGGCCUUGUAAGGACUGAUUGGAGUAAAGCCCCUUUUAUUGCUUCUUAUAGAAACUUCAAUGUCCAAACUUCCAAGAAUCCCAUAGCCAAUUCUUGGUUAACUCAAUCAUUGGAUAAUGUUGGCUUAGCAAGGAUGAAAUGGGUGCAAAAGAACUAUAUGAUAUACAAUUAUUGCACUGAUACUAAACGUUUCCCUCAAGGAUUCCCUCAUGAAUGCACUCUAAAUUAAUAAGUAUUUGUCUUAAAAUUUCCUCUAUUUUUUUUCUUCUGAGUGAAACGAUAAGAGUUGUCGUUGUGUGAAUAAAAAGAUUAUUAUAGUUUUCAGUGGUUGAAAGUUGAAACAACUUCUUGUAGAAAUGCAUAUGAUAAAGAUGAGUGUGUGUCAGAAGCUUAGCGUAUUAAGCUGUCCUUUAAAAAAGGUUAUUGUCUUUGUUUUUAUUUUUAAUUUUAUAUUAUACUAUAAAGAAAUGUAUAGUAGCCCAUUUGAGAGUGAUAUUGUUUGAUUGUACUUAUGUGAUAAGUUGGAAAUAUUGUUUCAGAUCUUGACUUGUUCUUGUUAUCUCAAAAGUAUCUAGGGACACAAGUUAUGCUUAUCUAUAAUAUAAUAUAUGGUACUCAUUAUUCAUAUUCCGUUUAUUUUUAGAUUGGACAUAUAUAUAU
rnacentral:lncRNA from 1 species